rnacentral:lncRNA from 10 species
CGUCACUCACGCUGGGAGCUGUAGACCGGAGCCGUUCCUAUUCGGCCAUCUUGGCUCCUCCCAAGCAGAGUCUCACUCUGUCACCCCAGGCUGGAAUGCAGUGGUGCGAUCUCCGCUCACUGCAACCUCCACCUCCGAGGUUCAAGCAAUUCUCCUGCCUCAUCCUCGAGUGUGUCCAUUAGAAGGAUGGCCCUGGGAUGCUGGAGGGCUGAGAGCUGGACCAGAAAUAUAUUUCAGUAACAACUGUUCUAAAUAUGAUCCUCAAACAUAAAUGUCUCCCCUCCAACCCAAGUCCCUUAUACUUGCGCAUUUGGGUCCCACUGUCUGGAAUGCCUUCCAUUUUAUACCCUGUGUCCAAGGCUGUUGGGAAUUUUUAUAAAAUCAUUUAAGACUUUGCUGAAACACCCCUUCUUCUGUUAUCUUUUCCCUGGUUCCUAGUAACCUUGAUGGGAUGCCCAUGAGUCCAUGAUACUUUAAAAUUCUUAUUGGAGUACCCAGUACAGGAUUUGUUUAUUGCUUGUGACUUUCUUUCUCAGUAGACCAUGAGCUUCUGAGAGCAGGAACUUUUUUAACUCAUUGUCAUAUUCUUUAAAUUUAGUGUAAAACCCAACCUUGUCGAACAUUGUACAGCAAAAAAAAUAUUUGUUGAAUCUCAUCAUUCCCUCUCUCCCUUGCACUCUGUAUUCCAGUCCUAUUGAACUUUCAUUUCAUCCUGUUGAUUUGAUUCUUUCUUGUCCCUGUGCCUUGUGUAUUAUGUAUGUGUAUAUGAUAUUUAUAUUAUCAUGUGAUAUUACAGGCAGUACUGCCUGCAGUACUCCCUCCAUAUACCCAUUUAUUCCUUCUUCUUCUUAUUCUAAAAGGUUUUCCUGACUUUUGAGGGAAAUAGAUCUUCCUUCUCUAUGUCCUCACUACUCCUUGUACUAUCCCCAAUAUCAUACUCUGUGCCCCUUCUGGAAACAAGAAACCUGAAGGCAGGGGCCAGAUCGGGUUUGUUUACCACUGUAUGCCCUGUACCUGGGGCACUUACUGACAUGAAGUGGUUGUUCAAUAAAUAUUUCUUGAAUAAAUGGUUGAAUAAAUUUUAUUCAAAUGCAGGCUUGUCAUUUUUACACCCCAUUUUGCACUUCCAUAUGUGUUCAGUAUAUCAUUUAGACAGACUUGGAGAGAUAAUAUAAUAUAAGGGAACUUUAGGUUCCAAAUAUAACACAGUUAAAAAUGCUUUCCUAGGGAGUUUAUUUUACAGUGACACGAGCUGGUAGCUAUCAAUGCAGAGAAGCCUGUAUGGAUGCACAGGCAGAGUAAAGCUUGGAAACAGCGACCCUGCUGGUGCAACUUCUCGUCUUGUAUUUCCCUACUCAGCUACCCAAACCAGAACCUGAGAGUUAGGUACCCUUCUCCUUUCUCUACCUCCUGAUCCACCUUCACAGCAAAUCACCAGGUCCUCCUGAUUUUACUCCUUGAAUGAUUCUCAAACACACCCCUUCCUCUCCUAUCUAGGUCCUCAUAAUCUGCUACCCACACAAUUGCAAUAUCCCAUAACUGUUCUCAAGGCUCUAGCUUUUUCUUCUCAAACUCAUCUUCCCAUUGCUACAAAGGUGAGCAUUUAGAAUUGGAAUAUGGCACUCCUCUCCUUAAACCAUUUCAGUGGGCGGCUCCUUGUCACCUUGAGCAUUAAAUCCAUUCUCUCAGCAUGGCAAAACAAGGCCCUCCACGAUCUGGUCCCUACCAACCCAUCUAAUCUCUUCUUGGAUUUAAAAUUCUAGUAAGUGUGAAAUAUAAUUUCCCCCAUAAUCCAUGAGAUUUCACACAUCUAUGCUUUUGUUCAUCUUGCUGUAUCUUUCUUACAUGCCUUCUCUCAUAGCCUCUUGCAUAAUUCUUACUAACCUCUUAAGAUUCACAUGGACAGUCAUCUUAUUCAGAAAGUUUUGUCUAAAUUCCAUGUUUGGCUUAAUGUCUUUCCUCUGGAUGACCAUAAUAUCCUGAAUAUACCUCUGUCUCUACUUUGAGAUGACUGUCCAGUGGUCCCAAAAUUUCUUAUCAUGUUCUUUAUCAAUAACAUUGCUGAAUAUGCACCUCAAUAUGUAUAUUUAUUUGUUUAUGUAUGCAGGUAUAUAUUUAUGUGUGCAUAAAUUUACAUAUAUACUCCUUUAUUAAUUAUGUAUUGUGUAUUUUAAGGUAUAUGUAAAAUUGACAUUGUAAGCACCAGAUAAAGGUAAAAUGACAACAUUUAAGGCAUUUUGAAAUGUCUUAAUGCAUUGAAAAACACAUUUUUCUAUACAAUUAGUAAUGCUCUUUACAGAAAGUGAUGUACCUUGAUUGGUUUGUUAAUUUUGAAUUUAAUUCUUUAGGAUAUACCUAUUUAAAAGACUCAGAAAGCCCGUACCAGAAAAAAAUUGAUAAGUUGGACUUCAUCAAAAUUAAAAACUUCUGCUCAGCAAAAACACAUACACACAAAAAAGAAACUAGAAAAAAGGAUUUGUAUUUCAAAUAGAUAACACUUAAAAUGAAAAUAUUUAAAAACAACAACAAACACCUUUUGAAAAAUAGAGAAAAAACUUAGACAAUUCACAAAGGAGGGUACAGAAAAAGCCAAAAAGCACAAGGAAAGGUGCUCAAUAGCAUUGCCAUUAAGGUAAUGGGAAUUAAAACCCAAUGAAAUACCACUACAACUGCAUGGAAAAGAUAAACUAAAAGAUGAACAACAUCAAAAGCUGUAGAGUUUGUGAAACAGAUGGAGAUCUUGUGCAUUGCUUAGCACAUUCUCAUAAAGUUAAACUGUACCAACCCUAGGACACACAAGGAGGAACAACAUACUUACAGAAAAAUGACUUGUACAAAAAUAUGUGUUUUAUAUAUAAUAGGUAAAAUAGUAAACAACCUAAGUGUCUAGCAAAUGGUGAAUAUAUAUACUUUUUAAAAUGUAGCACCGCCAAACAAUGAAAUACUACUCAGCAACAAAAAAGGUCUAAACUACUGAUAAGUGCACUAAAAUAAAAGGGCCUCAAAAACGUUAUUCUAAGUGAAAGAAGUUGGCCACAUAUGAAUACAUUCUGUAUGAAUUUUCUUUAUAUAAACCUCUAGAUAAGGCAAAACUAUGAGACAAGAAAUAAAAGCAGUGACUCUCUCUGGGGAGUGGGAUUGACUGAGAAAGGGUCUGGGAGAAUCUUCUAGGAUAAAAUAAAUGGUCUCUAUGUUGACAGGAAUGUGAGUUGCAUGAGAAUGUGCAUUUGGCAAAGUUUAUCUCACUGUAGAGAUAAACUCUGUAUAAAACAGUGUCUGGAUGAGCCAAAACCAAAACAAAGACUUUUUUUUUUUUAAAGUUUCCUAUAAGGGGCUGGGUGCGGUGGCUUAUGCCUCUAAUCCCAACACUUUGGGAGGCCAAGGCAGGCGGAUCAUGAGGUCAGGAGAUCGAGACCAUCCUGGCUAACAUAGGGAAACCCCACCUCUACUAAUAGUACAAAAAAAUUAGCCGGGCAUGGUGGCGGGCACCUGUACUCCCAGCUACUUGGGAGGCUGAGGCAGGAGAAUGGCAUGAACCCAGGAACAGACACAGAGAGUACCAGAAUAUAGGACUUCCAUGUAUAUACCUUGUUCUAUUGAUUUCAUUUUGGAACCAUGUGAUUAUUUUAUAGAAUUAUAAUGCAAAACAAAAAAAACUGAUACAUUGAAUGGCAAAUGAAUUGUACGUGUUAACUGUGCAUUGCAUUGCUGGCUCAACCAAAAAAAUAAACGAUUUCAAUUAAUUUUAGAGCACAGUGAUUUGACAAUAUGCUCUGGUGGAAUAUCUGCCAAAUGUACUCACAAAAUUAGUCAUAUUGUUGUUGGUAAUGUGAGUUUUUGUCAUCCAGAGACUGCUAUGUGUAUUUUGUAGGAUAAAUUACGUGAAAAAUUAUG